rnacentral:rRNA from 1 species
CUCAGAUUGAACGCUGGCGGCAGGCCUAACACAUGCAAGUCGAGCGGUAGCACAGAGAGCUUGCUCUCGGGUGACGAGCGGCGGACGGGUGAGUAAUGUCUGGGAAACUGCCUGAUGGAGGGGGAUAACUACUGGAAACGGUAGCUAAUACCGCAUAACGUCGCAAGACCAAAGUGGGGGACCUUCGGGCCUCAUGCCAUCAGAUGUGCCCAGAUGGGAUUAGCUAGUAGGUGGGGUAAUGGCUCACCUAGGCGACGAUCCCUAGCUGGUCUGAGAGGAUGACCAGCCACACUGGAACUGAGACACGGUCCAGACUCCUACGGGAGGCAGCAGUGGGGAAUAUUGCACAAUGGGCGCAAGCCUGAUGCAGCCAUGCCGCGUGUAUGAAGAAGGCCUUCGGGUUGUAAAGUACUUUCAGCGAGGAGGAAGGCAUUAAGGUUAAUAACCUUGGUGAUUGACGUUACUCGCAGAAGAAGCACCGGCUAACUCCGUGCCAGCAGCCGCGGUAAUACGGAGGGUGCAAGCGUUAAUCGGAAUUACUGGGCGUAAAGCGCACGCAGGCGGUCUGUCAAGUCGGAUGUGAAAUCCCCGGGCUCAACCUGGGAACUGCAUUCGAAACUGGCAGGCUAGAGUCUUGUAGAGGGGGGUAGAAUUCCAGGUGUAGCGGUGAAAUGCGUAGAGAUCUGGAGGAAUACCGGUGGCGAAGGCGGCCCCCUGGACAAAGACUGACGCUCAGGUGCGAAAGCGUGGGGAGCAAACAGGAUUAGAUACCCUGGUAGUCCACGCCGUAAACGAUGUCGACUUGGAGGUUGUGCCCUUGAGGCGUGGCUUCCGGAGCUAACGCGUUAAGUCGACCGCCUGGGGAGUACGGCCGCAAGGUUAAAACUCAAAUGAAUUGACGGGGGCCCGCACAAGCGGUGGAGCAUGUGGUUUAAUUCGAUGCAACGCGAAGAACCUUACCUACUCUUGACAUCCAGAGAACUUAGCAGAGAUGCUUUGGUGCCUUCGGGAACUCUGAGACAGGUGCUGCAUGGCUGUCGUCAGCUCGUGUUGUGAAAUGUUGGGUUAAGUCCCGCAACGAGCGCAACCCUUAUCCUUUGUUGCCAGCGGUUCGGCCGGGAACUCAAAGGAGACUGCCAGUGAUAAACUGGAGGAAGGUGGGG